rnacentral:rRNA from 1 species
UACGUAGGGUGCGAGCGUUGUCCGGAAUUACUGGGCGUAAAGCGUGCGCAGGCGGUUUGCUAAGAGAGAUGUGAAAUCCCCGGGCUUAACCUGGGAACUGCGUUUCUAACUGGCAGGCUUGAGUGUGGCAGAGGGGGGUGGAAUUCCACGUGUAGCAGUGAAAUGCGUAGAGAUGUGGAGGAACACCGAUGGCGAAGGCAGCCCCCUGGGCUAACACUGACGCUCAUGCACGAAAGCGUGGGGAGCAAACAGG